rnacentral:rRNA from 1 species
AUGAACGCUGGCGGCGUGCUUAACCCCUGCCAGUCGAACGAAGCACUUUAUUUGAUUUCCUUCGGGACUGAUUAUUUUGUGACUGAGUGGCGGACGGGUGAGUAACGCGUGGGUAACCUGCCUUGUACAGGGGGAUAACAGUUGGAAACGGCUGCUAAUACCGCAUAAGCGCACAGCAUCGCAUGAUGCAGUGUGAAAAACUCCGGUGGUAUAAGAUGGACCCGCGUUGGAUUAGCUAGUUGGUGAGGUAACGGCCCACCAAGGCGACGAUCCAUAGCCGACCUGAGAGGGUGACCGGCCACAUUGGGACUGAGACACGGCCCAAACUCCUACGGGAGGCAGCAGUGGGGAAUAUUGCACAAUGGGCGAAAGCCUGAUGCAGCGACGCCGCGUGAGCGAAGAAGUAUUUCGGUAUGUAAAGCUCUAUCAGCAGGGAAGAUAAUGACGGUACCUGACUAAGAAGCACCGGCUAAAUACGUG